UAAGGCGAGAAAACACAACAGAGACUCAGGCAGAACUGUGGACCCCUGGGACUGAAUAUGUUCUAUUACUGGGCAUUGGUGCUGCAAAAAUUACAAGGAUAAUUUUUUAAGAAUAUAUAAAAAGUACAAACUACUGCCACUGUUAAUUCUGUGAAAUAGAUAGCUAGGCAGAUUAUAGUGUACAAUGAGAUUAACCAAUACAUAUAGUUUAACAAAUUGUUGAGUGUUAAAGUCAUGUUACAGGCAACUUAAAGGAUCUUUAAUAACUGCCCACUAUGAUUCUCCAAAAUGGUACUGAUCAUGUAUACAUUUGUUGCUUACAGUAUCUGAGAAUAGUCAGAUCAUUGGGUAAGAUCAACUAAUCCCUUAGUGGUUCACAGAAAAUCCUGUAAUCUUCUGUAAAUAAUGAAUGUUGUGUUUAUGCCAGGAUGCCAACGCCAACUCUGGCGAAUGUUUAAAUUCAUUUUUAUGUCUUUUUCAUUAAUUUGUAAUUCUUUAAUUAUCAUUUAAGUUAAUAUUGUUUAGUUUAUUAUUUGUGUAUAUUUUUUUAGCUUCCGAGUAUGAUCGUCUGUUCUAGCAAGUUCCUUGUAAUUUGUGGGUGGUUUGCCAAGUGGCAGGGCCAUACGUCCAACUCUCUCUAGGUAAUGCCACCUGCCCUAUAAAGGCUGAGUAGACAGGCAGUUAAAUGUGGUACAUUGUAUGUGCUUGGUGUUGGCAAGUUCUCUUGUGUUUUGCUUAUUGUUAUUACUGAUUUACUAGAUUUUUGACUACUCCCUUCAGAUUGUGUUUUAGACUGUUACUGGAUUGUUUUUUUUUUUUUUUAACUGAUUUUGUGCCUUUCUGCUUUUUGAGUUUUCUUUUGUUAGAGUAUUUUUUUAAAUUAUUCUUUUACUUACAUGUAUAGUAUAGAGAGACUUUUUCACCCAUGUUUGUCUUCUAGCGAAGAGUUUGCAGUCACCCCUUUUUCCAGUGCUAUAACACGUGCGCCUAGGAGGCAGUCUGCAAGCCCUAAGACUGAUGCAUCCAACACAGGACUUGGAGCCGUGCUGAGCUAAUGCAUCGAUGGUGCCGAACACCCCAUUAUGUAUUUGAGCUGGAAACUGCUAGAUCGAGAGACCAGACCCAAAGAAUAGAAAUAAUGAUCCCAUUUACUUACCUCCACCAUUUCCGAGUUCUGAAGAUCGCUGUCCUACAUCAUUUCCACUUCCGACUCCAA